CUAGAACGUGACGUCACCGCCUGUAUAAAUCCCGCCCUCUUCCGUCGUCACAUCCUCUUUCCGUUGCUCUCCUCGCUCCGAGAAACUUCUCCACACGAUGAGAGCCAAGUGGAGGAAGAAGCGUAUGCGCAGGCUGAAGCGUAAAAGGAGAAAGAUGAGGCAGAGGUCAAAGUAAGCCCUCAUCCCCGCCAGCUGUGAUCCCGUCAGAGCCUCUCUAGAUUGACUCAUGUGGCUGAAGUGGAGCCUCUUUUGUGGAACAACGGCCUAAAACCUGAUUUCAGAUGACUGUGUGUCUCAUGGAGCCCGCUGUGAACGUCUGACUGGAAGAGGCGAAGACGCUGGACAGAUCUCAACAUCAGAACUACAGCUGCCUUGUUCAUGGACCAUAAUACAUACGUUUACCAACAACUGUCAUUUGGUGUAUUGAACAAUAAAUGAACACUGUUAAAAGUUUA